rnacentral:tRNA from 1 species
GCGUCCGCCAGGACGAUGCGGUCGCCCUGGGCGUUGCCGGUGCCCACGAAGAUGCCCAGUUCCAGUUCGUAGUCCAGACGGGCGCA